GAUCAUGGCUCAGGAUGAACGCUAGCGACAGGCCUAACACAUGCAAAUCGAGGGGCAGCGGGGUAGGUAGCUAAUACCUUUGCCGGCGACCGGCGCACGGGUGAGUAACACGUAUGCAAUCCACCUGUAACAGGGGGAUAACCCGGAGAAAUCCGGACUAAUACCCCAUAAUAUGGGCUCUCCGCAUGGAGGGUUCAUUAAAGAGAGCAAUUUUGGUUACAGACGAGCAUGCGCUCCAUUAG
rnacentral:rRNA from 1 species